CGUCACAAAGUUCAUCUUAAAUACUUGGUGAUAGGGCAAUUCAGUGUUGAUCCAAACAGCGAAGAAGCUAGACGCCUCCCACCAGAAGAAGAAGCUUGAAAUAAGCGGAAAAGCGAAGGUCCAGAUCGGCUUUUAGAUGGUCCGACAAUCGGACGGUCAUUAUUUAUUUGAUAAGGCUGCGUUCUUGAUCUUCUAUAACUGAAAUAUCAACAACGAAAAGAGAGGAGAAAUCGGAGUCCACAGAGGAGUUUUGUGGGGAUUUGUUUUGAUGCGAUCAAUUUGCGAUUUAAAUCUUGCAAAGGGUUUCGACAAAUCAUCAAAUUUGGCGGAGGCGAUUGUUAUUUAUUGAUAUGAUUUUUUAAAAAAGGAAACAGGUAUUAAAAAACCCUAGAUUUUGAAUUUCUACGCUUUUGUUGUGGUUGUUUCCCUCCUUCCAAAAUUAAAGCAGUGGAGUCCCUAAUUGAUUCGGCCUUGGUCAGAUCUCAAAGAAUCUUAAUCAGAUGAUGAACAGAUUUAGGGUUUUUUUUUAUGAAGAAUUUAUUGAAGAAACUUUUUGAAGAGAAGGGGAUUUUUUGUUCGGAUUCUCCUAGAUCAACCUUAGACGUAGGCGGCAUUGAAUUGAUUAAAAUUUUCUUCUGGGGAUUGUUUUCCACGAGGCUUUCGGUAUGGAUAGUGCUGGAGCUUUUGUCAAAGGAGUUUUUAUUGCAUAAAUUACGUGUAGCCAUUACUCUGGGCCAAUUUUAGGCUUCAAGAAUUAGGCUAUAUUUCUACUUAGUUUGACUCUAUCGAAAUCAACCUAGCUGCUUCGCCAUUCAAGACUUAGACACUAUUCUCGGAGCUGUCCUGCUGCGGCGAUAGACUGUUAGAUAGAAACUUUAGGGUGUUUAUAUUUUAUUAGAUAAACUGAUUGCUUUCCUAUGCGUUGCUGAUGUGUUUAUCUUCUGAUGGUGAAUUUGGUAUUUCAUGUUUAUAUGAUUUGGAUCUAUGGAUUUUGGGCUAUUUUUUUCUGAUUUAAGGAGCCUUGUUUGCUUGUUUGUGAAACUCACUACUCCGUAUCUGCAGAAAAGUGGUGUAGGACUAUUGGAGGGAAGAAUAAUGUUUGUCCUUCGAAGGAGACUAGGAGAUCUGAUGUUUUUGGCCUGUGGUCAGGCUGUGAGUCAUGGUUUGACUUGAAGUAGCUAGGCUGCCAUAUCUCUUUUUUUUGGCAUAGACUGAAACAAAUAUACUUCUAUUAUUACCAGAAGUAUUAUGUGGAAAUUAUGCAUAGGAAAGAACACAGUUUGUCUAAACUGUUCCUGUACUUGUUUUGAUGAUGAAACUUUUACUGUAUAUAUUUUGUUGUUUGCAAAGAACCAUGAUUCCAAGCAUUUGGAACAAAUUUUAUCCAAUGUUACAUUCUCAAUUGAGGGAAGUUUUCGAGGACAUCAAAAAUUGUCAGCAUGAUCUGCCUCAAGGUAAAUGACCUUUGGAGGCAUAUGCUGGUAGUCCUAUUAUCUACUCUGAGGCUCAAUAUACAGAUUAUAAAAAUCUAUUUUAUAAGGGAUUGGGUGUUUUAAGGAAGGAUAGACACUUAACGUGUUCGAAGACUUGAGUUUUAUAGUGAUCUCUAUAUAGCUAUCUGAUCUGUUAAUAUCUGACAAGAUUGGAGGAACUCAAUUAGCUAGCUGUAUUUGUUCUUGCACCAGGAGUUUCUCUUCUACUCUGGUGUCAAGAAGUAAGCAAGAAACCACGGCAUCCUGCAAGACUUGUUGUGGUAGACCAUUAGUUGAUGGGAUAGGGUCUGUAUCUGCAGGCAUGAUGAGCACAGUAGGUCUGGAACUCACAAGUUUUAUAAACCCUGACUUGACUUGGAAGACAGUGUCAAAGGGGAAUAGGAGUGGAACGAGGCGUACAAGGAAACCAGGUGCUAAAAGCUUGACAAUGGGAAUGGGGCUAGCUGAUGAAAAUGCGGGAACAGUGGAGGAAGUUACAGUUUCAGAGUCAGAGAAGCUUGGUGUGGAUGUUCUAGGACGGCGCUUUAGUGAAAAAGUAGAGAAUAUUCCAAUAAAGAAAAGGAGAUCUAUGUUUCAGUCUCCACCUCUAACCCCAUUGGCCUCUUAUCAGCACCUUGAAGCCUCUGGACGGUAUGUAGAUUUUCAACCUGCUUCCGGUCAAAAUUCUGGUUCAAAUUCAGCUCAGAGGCAAUGGCUCAUAAAAUCUGAUUGUUUUGCCAAGUCAACUGUUUCUACUAUUGAUGAUGGGAACAUUUCAGAGGUAAUAAAUGGUGUUGAGGAUUUCUCAGGGAUUGAAAUACUUGCAGCUGCUGCUUGCAGUGACUGCAUCAGUAAUGAUGUUGCUGAAAAUGAGGUAAAUCCAUUAGUAGAAGAAUCAACACAGGAGAGAAUUGAGUCUUCUGCUUCUGCAAUGUGUUUGGAAGAAACAAUUGCAUCAUUGGAGACUGCUUGUUGCUCUCCAAAAGAUUCAGUAAAUGAAAGUAAAACUGAGGGUUCAUCUUUCCAGGGCAAUUCCUUUGUUGGUUUGCAUGAAUCUCCUUGUGAUAAGGAUAAUACAACAGCAGAAAAGUCCAUUCGCUUGCCAGAUGAUAGGCUACUCUGGGAUUUAAAUCUUUCAAUGGAUGCUUGGCCUUGUGAUGGUGGGGAUGUUGAUUCUCAAAAGGAUGCUUUUGAUAAUAUUUCUGUGAGAAGUGAAGAGCUGCAGACUAAGGAACCUCAAGAUAUACAAAAUGAUGCUACAAAGAAAGUGGUUUCAUCUGUUGUUGAUGGGGGUAACAGUAUGACUUCAGACUUGAGAACCAUGCCUGUUGGGACUGAUGACUUGAGGAGAGAGAAACAGGAAUCAGAAGGAUGCUCUGGCUAUGGUGAGAACAAAACUGAACAUGUUACAGUGCCAAUGUUUGAAGCUGAAAAUUCCUUGAUGCUCACUUCUGUUGACACAAAUGCUUCCAUUGAGGCAGUGAGCAUGGAUCAAUGUCUUAGUCAUUCUCCUUUUCCUGAAUCAGAUAAGAGCAAAUGGGUGUCUGAGGAAAACCAAGAAAAAUCACUAUCAACUGAUAAAGUUGAGCUGAACUCAGUAGGGUGUAUUUCUGAGGCAGAGGUGGGCAAAACUGUUUGUAUAGAAGUUGUUCAGGUAGAAGAGUCUGAUGUUGCUUCUCCCCGUCUACCAGUUUUAGAGAUGAUUGCUAAUGACAUUCAGAACACAAGUGCUGACAAUGAUAAGGAUCAUGAUGGAGAUUCUGGCCUGCAUGAUGUUAAGGUUUUUGCUUACGGCCUGGACAAUCCUCGACCUCUAGAAUCCCUGGAAGUUGAGCAUGCAAAUGUGGCAGAGGAGAUGGACAUUUGCCAUUUUUCACCAAAGUCUGAAGAUAUGUCCAUAUCAGAUGAUUGUGUUAUUGAGGCUAUGGAACGAACUGCUGGAGCUUCUUCAGCCUAUACUGCUCAAGUUGAUUCUGUUGCUCAUACAGAGUCUGUGGAACUGUUGCAAAAUUCUUCCAGAAAUUCCAAUGCUACUUUAGGAGCUGGUGAGUUUUCUACUCAUGAGGCAUGUAGAAUCUAUGCUAAUGGUCCUACAAGUCCUACAAGUCCUACAAGCUACUUGGAUAAGGCCAACCCGAAUGAUACUCCUAAAGAAAGCCAUGACUCAGCUGUUUGUCAAGAUAAGGAAUUGACAGUUGGCAUGAGAAACCACUCAGAACUUCAGACUGGUUAUGAUUCACAAUUUGAGGAUGGGGAAUUGAGGGAAUCUGAUAUUCAAUGUUGGGAGGAAGCUGAACAGGUGGACUAUGACACUGAAUUUGAGGAAGAAAGGUCAUUUGGGUUGGAGGCUGAGAGUGGUGAGCAGAAAUUGAAGGUAGAAAGAGGAUCAAGUUCGGAUGUUACUGGGAACUUUGAAUGUCAUGAAACUGGAGAGGCUUUGAGGGAAAGUUCAGUGAGCUUGAAGAUGAGAACUGUGGAAGUGCCUGAUGGCAAAACAAAGAAAAUUGAUUGCUUAGAUGGGUCUAAAGUUAGAGAUUAUGAUCUUAGAGUAGAUUUAUCCAAGGUAUCAAAAAGGGAAUUGCUUUCACGUGUUGAAGGAUCAUUAUCCUCAAGCAGGUCUGACAAUUUUGAUGGUUCAUAUACUCGAGCUGAAAGGGAGGCUAGCUCUGACAAAUUCAUGGGGAGGGAUAGAUCUACUUCACAUAUGCGUGGCAGAAACCCAGGAGGUGGGCACUUUUUCAAUCCUUCAGCUAAUUAUUGGAAUUCUAAGCGGCAUCAUGCACCCAUUUAUCACGGCCCUUGCAAUUUUGGGCGCCCCAGACCAAAAAGUGUUGUUGAGAGCCGUGGAUAUCCUAUGGGCACAGGCCAAGCGCCUUCAGAAGCUGCUGGUGUUGCAAGACCUGACAACCGCAUUUCUAGGCAGUAUAUGGAUUCCUCCAAUGGUGUAUACAGGCCUCUCCUUAGAGGGAGAUCACCAGUUGAAAGAGAUGAUUCUUAUGGUAUGCAUCCAAGAAUGCCUACCGUAAGAGAUACUAGUCCCGAUCGGACUAGGUUUAGAAGAUAUCCACAUGGGGUUAGUAGGGGCAUCAGGGAUGAAUAUAUCAGGCAUAUUCCUGAUGACAGCACAGAAUAUUUGAGCCGUAUGCCACGUCGUUUAGGCAGGAGAGAAAGAAGCAUUUCCCCCCAGGGUGGAAGACCUCAUUAUACUGUACCUUACAAGAGAACUCGGUCAAGAUCAAGGAGUCGCUCGCCCAGUGGCUGGUUAUUGCAGAUGGAUAGAAAUGAGGGUACGAGACGUAGCAGCAGGUCACCAGAUUUUAGGUCUGAUGCUAGAAUAGAUAGGGUGAGGUUGCCAUUUACAAAGCGUUUUGCUGCAGAGUAUGAAGAGUUCAUAACCCCACCUCGAAGUCGCAUUUCACCCCUGCGAAAUUUCAGGAUGUUUGAGGAUCGGAAUCCUGGUUUAGACAAUUUUAGGGGCCGGAAAUCACCUGUGAGAAUGUUACGGCAAGGCCAAAGGUUUGAUCAAGUGCGCCCCAUUCGGAGAUUGAAUUCAGAUGAUAACUUCAGACCCAUGAUUCGAGGCAGAAGAUUUCCUGAUAUGGCUGCUGGUGGUAAAGGGUGUAAAUAUGAAGGCAGUGAUGAUGAUAAACAUGGCCGCAGACAUGAGAUGAUUUAUCGAGUGAGGCGGUAUGAUACGGAUGGUGCAGUCCCUCGGUUUCGGUCUAAUGUAGAAGAUUCAUAUGUGGCUAAGAACUCUUUAACCUUGACUAAUGCAAUUGGGGUCUCAUCUAGGAGGCCUGAUGAUGCCCCUAGGACAUCUAGUGAAAGAUAGAUCAUUUUAAGAUGCAACCAUGAAGAGGAUUUGGUUGGAAAGAGAGAUGUGUAACUUGGAAGAGGAUAUGCAUCUAAAUUGUGCCUGAUUUUUUUUGGUUGGUAGCAUCCCUUAGCGAAGAAAAUUUGUUCUCUUGGGGUUGAUCUUUUGCCUCCCUCCUUGUCUACCGUUCCCUCGUUUACUCCUUUCAAAGGUUAUAUCUUCUUGCCUAGAAGGUUGUCGAUACCUCUAUAUACGAGGCAAUUAAGGUAUAAUGGUUAAGUCGAAAUUAAGGGCUUUUUUUUUUUUAUGUUGCAAUGCUUCAAUUUAAUUUGGUCUUUCCUCAGUAUUAUUGUCAUUUCAUCUUUUCUUUGUCAUGGUUAUAAAAGAGAAAUAAUCGUAUUGGAUCUCAUUUACGCUGCAUGGUAAAUGCUAAUUGAAAGAGUAAUUGUUGAUCUUAACAAGUUGGUAUUUAAAAGAAAAUGAAAUAUACCACAAAGAAAUUAUCACUUGUCUUUUACCUACAAGCCUCUCCUUAAGACCAAUACUUGACCAGACCCGGCUAUAGCUUCUACGAAUAGCUGGCAAAACCCUGAAAGAAAAGAUGGAAUCACUCUUCAAGGUCGUUGUUGUGCCUGAAUGGAUGAGAACCUGUUGAUAUAACUUCUGAUGUGGUAGUUGAGGAGCUCUUUAGGGGCUAAGAAGCAUGGUGGGUAUGGCCUAUCACGAAGAUAAAAGUUAAGGGGAAAGAUGGCGAGUACGGCAAAGGUCGUUGGGUGUUAAUGAAAUUCUCGAUUAUGUUUUGUUCCGUCCAUAUCAAUUAAGGGUUCUUUAUUAUUUUAUUUAUUUAUUUAUUACAGGCUU